UAUGGCCACAUCACAUUGAAACACAGGUUCCUGUAUGAUCACCAAAGUUAAGCCAUGUCAAGCCUGGUUGGUACCUAGAUGGGCGACUGCUUGGAAAUGCCAGUGCUGUAA